rnacentral:misc_RNA from 1 species
UGGUUGUGACUUCUGAAUGGUGGCAGCUACUAAGGCUCUUUAAAAUCCUCAUGAUAUUUAUUUAACAUAGACUGCAGCCACAAAUCUGCUACUGCAACUUCACCGAAUGUCCCCUUUUGAGGGGCUGAAGAUGAUCCAACUUGAAACUCCACUAUAUAUAGUAAAGGAGAUUGAAAAUCCACACCAUUCCUUCCAAAUAAGUCAUUAGAAUGA